rnacentral:rRNA from 1 species
UACGGAGAGUGCAAACGUUGUUCGGAUUCACUGGGCGUAAAGGACACGUAGGCGGCUCGGCAAAUCGGUCGUGGAAUCCCGACGCUUACCGUCGGAACGGCGGCCGAAAAUACCGGGCUAGAGGGCGUGAGGGGUCACUGGAACUCCUGGUGAAGCGGUGAAAUGCGUAGAUAUCAGGAGGAACGCCGGAGGCGAAAGCGAGUGACUGGCGCGUUCCUGACGCUGAGGUGCGAAAGCUGGGGGAGCAAACAGG